rnacentral:misc_RNA from 1 species
GAAAUGCGAAAAGUAGUGUGACAUGCAAACGCCUGUGAAACAUUGAAUCUUUGAACGCACAUUGCGCUCAGCGGUGCGAGCCGCGGAGCAUGUCUGUCUGAGGGUGGCAACGAACAUGCAGCGGAGCUGUGAUGUGGCGCGACCGUGCGUGAUGUGGUGCAACCGUGCUGAAUGGUGCACCACGCUCUGCUGGCGCACUAAAAUAAAAGCCUUGCGUAGAGGUGCAGCAAAAUGAUACUCUCAUUCCAGUACACCAAUACCAGCAUAUCAUCAUCCACACCGCCUCAGAUCAGACAAGACCACCCGCCGAACUUAA